ACGGCGAGUGAGCGGCAACAGCCCAAUUUUGAAAGCCUCCGGGCGUUGUAGUGGUGGCGACUGGACUCUGGCCACAAGUCCCUUGGAACAGGGCGCCUCAGAGGGUGACAGCCCCGUAGGCCGCACGAGUCCUCCAUGUCGCUGCCGGGCGAGUCGAGUUGUUUGGGAAUGCAGCUCAAACGGGUGGUAAACUCCAUCCAAGGCUAAAUACCGGCGAGAGACCGAUAGCGAACAAGUACAGUGAUGGAAAGAUGAAAAGCACUUUGAAAAGAGAGUGAAAAAGUACGUGAAAUUGGUGUGAGGGAAGGGGGCGGGGGGAAGUAGGCGCCGGGUUGCGCGGAGACGAAAAGGGCUGGGAACCUCGCUGCCUCGGCAGCGCCCCCAGCUGACCGUCUCUGGGCGUCCCCGCGGCGGAUCCCCCCUCCCCACCCGUCUUGAAACCACGGA
rnacentral:rRNA from 2 species